UAUUGCUGACUCAGUGUGACGGUGGUGUGUUUGUGUAGUGUGGGUGUCGGUCGGGGGGGGGGGCAUAAGGGCUGACACAUCUCUGGUCGUGGCUUUUGUGAGUCACUUGACCUGCUGCAACUUUGAUCCCUCAGAAUGUUAACUUGUGUCCUUCUUUUCUUAUCGUGAUAGUAAACGUGCAUCUCACAUUUUCAUUACUUUAGAAUUACGCCUCCGGUUCUUUCUUUUAAAGUUUGUCACUUUGUGAUCUGAGAUACAGCUUGCCUGUUUUAUAUUGCUGGGCAGUUUCAGAGUUCGUACUCAUAUCCCUCUGCAUGUGCGUGUUACCUAGGCUCUGAAAUCCAUUGGGAAUAAAGUGCGGUGACAGCGCGUGUGAGGAGGGCCCAAGAAGACCAAGAUGGAGGACGCUAGAGAGCUUCCCUCAUCCUCCCUCAUGUACCUAACUGAUCCCAGGCCGCUGGUAGUUGAGACAGACUCUACACCUGCCUCCCCAUGCCCUGAUCCCAGGCCUGCGCUAGUGGAUGCAGACUUUACACCAGCCUCCCCAUGCCCUGAUCCCAGGCCUGCGCUAGUGGAUACAGACUCUACACCA
rnacentral:lncRNA from 1 species